GAUGAACGCUGGCGGCGUGCCUAAUACAUGCAAGUCGAGCGAACGGACGAGAAGCUUGCUUCUCUGAUGUUAGCGGCGGACGGGUGAGUAACACGUGGAUAACCUACCUAUAAGACUGGGAUAACUACGGGAAACCGUAGAUAAUACCGGAUAAUAUUUUGAACCGCAUUGUUCAAAAGUGAAAGACGGUCUUGCUGUCACUUAUAGAUGGAUCCGCGCUGCAUUAGCUAGUUGGUAAGGUAACGGCUUACCAAGGCAACGAUGCAUAGCCGACCUGAGAGGGUGAUCGGCCACACUGGAACUGAGACACGGUCCAGAGUCCUACGGGAGGCAGCAGUAGGGAAUCUUCCGCAAUGGGCGAAAGCCUGACGGAGCAACGCCGCGUGAGUGAUGAAGGUCUUCGGAUCGUAAAACUCUGUUAUUAGGGAAGAACAUAUGUGUAAGUAACUGUGCACAUCUUGACGGUACCUAAUCAGAAAGCCACGGCUAACUACGUG
rnacentral:rRNA from 1 species